rnacentral:rRNA from 1 species
AACGAACGCUGGCGGCAUGCUUAACACAUGCAAGUCGAACGAGACCUUCGGGUCUAGUGGCGCACGGGUGCGUAACGAGUGGGAACUUGCACUUAGGUUCGGAAUAAUUCCCCGAGAGGGGUGUUAAUAACGCAUAAUGUCUUCGGACCAAAGAGUUAUCGCGUUGGGAUGGGCCCUCGUUGGAUUAGCUGGUUGGUAGGGUAAAGGCGUGCCAAGGCGCCGAUCCAUAGCUGGUCUGAGAGGAGGAUCAAUCAGACUGGCACUGAGACACGGCCCAGACUCCUACGAGGCAGAGCAGUGGGGAGUAUUAGACGAGGAACGAAGGCGUGGUCCAGCAGUGCCGCGUGAGAGGGCAAGGCCUUAGGGUACUGAAGCUCUUUGACACGGAAUGAGAAUGACAGUACCGGGAGAAGAAGCACCGGCUAACUACGUG